UACAGAGGGUGCAAGCGUUAAUCGGAAUUACUGGGCGUAAAGCGUGCGUAGUCGGUUAUCUAAGUCAGGUGUGAAAUCCCCGGGCUCAACCUGGGAAUUGCAUUUGAUACUGGAUAGCUAGAGUUCGGCAGAGGGAAGUGGAAUUUCUGGUGUAGCGGUGAAAUGCGUAGAUAUCAGAAGGAAUAUCAGUGGCGAAAGCGACUUCCUGGACCAGAACAUGACGAUCAGGCACGAAAGCGUGGGGAGCAAACAGG
rnacentral:rRNA from 1 species